rnacentral:rRNA from 1 species
AGCAGCCGCGGUAAUUCCAGCUCCAAUAGCGUAUAUUAAAGUUGUUGCAGUUAAAAAGCUCGUAGUUGAAUUUCGGGAUCAAGUCGUCGGUCGUGCCUCGGUACGCACUGGUGACAUUGGUUUCUCCCUUCUGAAGAACCUUGAUGUCAUUAAUUUGGUGUCUUGGGGAAUCAGGACUGUUACUUUGAAAAAAUUAGAGUGUUUAAAGCAAGCUCACGCUUGAAUACAUUAGCAUGGAAUAAUGAAAUAGGGCGUUUGAUUCUAUUUUGUUGGUUUCUAGGAUCGACGUAAUGAUUAAUAGGGAUAGUUGGGGGCAUUAGUAUUCAAUUGUUAGAGGUGAAAUUCUUGGAUUUAUUGAAGACUAACUACUGCGAAAGCAUUUGCCAAGGAUGUUUUCAUUAAUCAAGAACGAAAGUUAGGGGAUCGAAGACGAUCAGAUACCGUCGUAGUCUUAACCAUAAACUAUGCCGACUAGGGAUCGGAUGAUGUUAAUUUUUAAUGACUCAUUCGGCGCCUUACG